UUGGAAGUAAAAAAUCGUAACAAGGUCUCCGUUGGUGAACCAGCGGAGGGAUCAUUACCGAGUUUACAACUCCCAAACCCCUGUGAACAUACCACUUGUUGCCUCGGCGGAUCAGCCCGCUCCCGGUAAAACGGGACGGCCCGCCAGAGGACCCCUAAACUCUGUUUCUAUAUGUAACUUCUGAGUAAAACCAUAAAUAAAUCAAAACUUUCAACAACGGAUCUCUUGGUUCUGGCAUCGAUGAAGAACGCAGCAAAAUGCGAUAAGUAAUGUGAAUUGCAGAAUUCAGUGAAUCAUCGAAUCUUUGAACGCACAUUGCGCCCGCCAGUAUUCUGGCGGGCAUGCCUGUUCGAGCGUCAUUUCAACCCUCAAGCACAGCUUGGUGUUGGGACUCGCGUUAAUUCGCGUUCCCCAAAUUGAUUGGCGGUCACGUCGAGCUUCCAUAGCGUAGUAGUAAAACCCUCGUUACUGGUAAUCGUCGCGGCCACGCCGUUAAACCCCAACUUCUGAAUGUGACCUCGGAUCAGGUGGGAAUCCA
rnacentral:rRNA from 1 species